UACGUAGGGGGCAAGCGUUGUCCGGAUUUAUUGGGCGUAAAGAGCGUGUAGGCGGCCAGAUAGGUCCGUUGUGAAAACUGGAGGCUUAACCUCCAGCUGUCGAUGGAAACCAUCUGGCUAGAGUCCGGAAGAGGAGAGUGGAAUUCCUGGUGUAGCGGUGAAAUGCGCAGAUAUCAGGAAGAACACCCGUGGCGAAGGCGGCUCUCUGGGGCGGUACUGACGCUGAGACGCGAAAGCGUGGGGAGCGAACAGG
rnacentral:rRNA from 1 species